rnacentral:rRNA from 1 species
CCCUUAGAUGUUCUGGGCGGCCCGCGCACUACAAUGGCGUGUGCAGCGAGUGCCGAAGUAGAGUUUUCCGAGGUAUUCUUGCAAUGCUCGUUUUGAUGGGGAUAGACCCUUGCAACUGUUGGUUUUGAACGAGGAAUUCCUUGUAAGCAUGGUUUAUCAUCCGACGCUGAAUGCGUCCCUGCCCUUUGUACACACCGCCCGUCGCUCCUACCGAUGAGUCGUCCGGUGAAUAAUUCGGACUGCAGCAAUGUUUGGAUCCCGAACGUUGCAGCGGAAAGUUUAGUGAACCUUAUCACUUAGAGGAAGGAGAAGUCGUAACA